GAUGAACGCUGGCGGCGUGCCUAAUACAUGCAAGUCGAGCGAACAGAUGAGGAGCUUGCUCCUCUGACGUUAGCGGCGGACGGGUGAGUAACACGUGGAUAACCUACCUAUAAGACUGGGAUACUUCGGGAAACCGGAGCUAAUACCGGAUAAUAUAUUGAACCGCAUGGUUCAAUAGUGAAAGACGGUUUUGCUGUCACUUAUAGAUGGAUCCGCGCCGCAUUAGCUAGUUGGUAAGGUAACGGCUUACCAAGGCAACGAUGCGUAGCCGACCUGAGAGGGUGAUCGGCCACACUGGAACUGAGACACGGUCCAGACUCCUACGGGAGGCAGCAGUAGGGAAUCUUCCGCAAUGGGCGAAAGCCUGACGGAGCAACGCCGCGUGAGUGAUGAAGGUCUUCGGAUCGUAAAACUCUGUUAUUAGGGAAGAACAAAUGUGUAAGUAACUAUGCACGUCUUGACGGUACCUAAUCAGAAAGCCACGGCUAACUACGU
rnacentral:rRNA from 1 species